CCAUUUAAAGCUUAUAAAGUAAAGCCUUUCAUUUACAUUGAAAAGAUUUUUGUGCAAAUCCAAAUAAAUUGA
rnacentral:tRNA from 1 species